rnacentral:rRNA from 1 species
CCUACGGGAGGCAGCAGUGGGGAAUAUUGCACAAUGGGGGAAACCCUGAUGCAGCGACGCCGCGUGAGUGAAGAAGUAAUUCGUUAUGUAAAGCUCUAUCAGCAGGGAAGAAAAUGACGGUACCUGAGUAAGAAGCCCCGGCUAACUACGUGCCAGCAGCCGCGGUACUACGUAGGGGGCAAGCGUUAUCCGGAUUUACUGGGUGUAAAGGGAGCGUAGACGGCAGUGCAAGUCUGGAGUGAAAGGCGGGGGCUCAACCCGCGGACUGCUCUGGAAACUGUACGGCUGGAGUGCAGGAGAGGUGAGUGGAAUUCGUGGUGUAGCGGUGAAAUGCGUAGAUAUUAGGAGGAACACCAGUGGCGAAGGCGGCUUACUGGACUGUAAAUGACGCUGAGGCUCGAAAGCGUGGGGAGCAAACAGGAUUAGAUACCCCUGUAGUC